AAUGAACGCUGGCGGUAGGCCUAACACAUGCAAGUCGAACGGCAGCACAGUAAGAGCUUGCUCUUACGGGUGGCGAGUGGCGGACGGGUGAGGAAUACAUCAGAAUCUACUUUUUCGUGGGGGAUAACGUAGGGAAACUUACGCUAAUACCUCAUACGACCUACGGGUGAAAUCAGGGGAUCUUCGGACCUUGCGCGAUUGAAUGAGCCGAUGUCGGAUUAGCUAGUUGGCGGGGUAAAGGCCCACCAAGGCGACGAUACGUAGCUGGUCUGGGAGGAUGAUCAGCCACACUGGAACUGAGACACGGUCCAGACUCCUACGGGAGGCAGCAGUGGGGAAUAUUCGACAAUGGGCGCAAGCCUGAUCCAGCAAUACCGCGUGGGUGAAGAAGGCCUUCGGGUUGUAAAGCCCUUUUGUUGGGAAAGAAAAGCAGCAGGUUAAUACCCCGCUGUUCUGACGGUACCCAAAGAGUAAGCACCGGCUAACUUCGUG
rnacentral:rRNA from 1 species